rnacentral:rRNA from 1 species
GACGAACGCUGGCGGCGUGCCUAAUACAUGCAAGUAGAACGCUGAAGAGAGGAGCUUGCUCUUCUUGGAUGAGUUGCGAACGGGUGAGUAACGCGCAGGUAACCUGCCUUGUAGCGGGGGAUAACUAUUGGAAACGAUAGCUAAUACCGCAUAACAAUGGAUGACACAUGUCAUUUAUUUGAAAGGGGCAAUUGCUCCACUACAAGAUGGACCUGCGUUGUAUUAGCUAGUAGGUGAGGUAAUGGCUCACCUAGGCGACGAUACAUAGCCGACCUGAGAGGGUGAUCGGCCACACUGGGACUGAGACACGGCCCAGACUCCUACGGGGGCAGCAGUAGGGAAUCUUCGGCAAUGGGGGCAACCCUGACCGAGCAACGCCGCGUGAGUGAAGAAGGUUUUCGGAUCGUAAAGCUCUGUUGUAAGUCAGGAACGGGUGUGAGAGUGGAAAGUUCACACUGUGACGGUAGCUUACCAGAAAGGGACGGCUAACUACGUG